rnacentral:rRNA from 1 species
UACGGGGGGGGCAAGCGUUGUUCGGAAUUACUGGGCGUAAAGGGCUUGUAGGUGGCCAACUAAGUCAGACGUGAAAUCCCUCGGCUUAACCGGGGAACUGCGUCUGAUACUGGAUGGCUUGAGGUUGGGAGAGGGAUGCGGAAUUCCAGGUGUAGCGGUGAAAUGCGUAGAUAUCUGGAGGAACACCGGUGGCGAAGGCGGCAUCCUGGACCAAUUCUGACGCUGAGUGAGCGAAAGCCAGGGGAGCAAACGGG